GCAAUAUGCUAAUAAGGCGUAGGAUCUCCCCCGCGCUGUGUAGUUUCAUUCUCCUCGCGGCUGGCUUUUUCGGGCGCUUUCCCUUGCCCGAGCGAUGGGGGAAGACAUGAUGUGUGUGAAGGGGGGAGUUGGGGCUCCCCGCUCAGCUAAUGCGCAGAGAGGGGGAGAUGGAGCAGGGACCUGCCUUGCAAAGGAUGCUGCAGCCAUGGAGUCCCUGGAGGAGAGGGAUCCGGGUGCAAACUCUGCCCCAGGGACCGGCUGCUGCAUGGGGACAAGUGCUACUGGCUGUCUAAGGAGCGUAAAGACUGGACUGGGAGCCGUGACGACUGCUCGGGGAAGAGCUCUCGCAUGCUCGUGAUCCAGAACCGGGAGGAGAUGGUAACAUCAAAUACAGGCUCAUCCAACUCCAGCUGGAGAAAGACGUGUGUCACUAGUUACAAUCCCAGUGUAGCCUGACUCUACCACCCCCCACCGCAAAUCAAACUCCACACUGGGGUGUUUUCUCCCCUUCUGGGGGUCUGGCUUAUUAACAUACAGUUCAGAACAAGAACCCCAGAGCUUUCCCACCCCAGGCUGCCCAGCUGGCUCCUGUAGGCGUUUCACUCCCAGGCCCUCUGUCUGAGAGCUCAGCGGAGCCCUUCUGCAUAGAGCUACUCACACAAACCUCCUACCCCAUCAAAUCUCUCCCUGCCCAGACUGGCUGCCCUUGUAGCCCCACCAGGCCUGGCUCCUGGUCACCUGCUUCCAUCACCUUUGCCUCUGAGUCCGGGGGCACCUAGUCACAGGUGAGGCUCAACCCAGGACUCCCUUAAAGGGCCAGCUCACCCUGUGCCACCAAGGACUGGUGCUGAUGUUACCAUGUCUGCAUAGAGAGAGCCACGUUUACCUGCUCUGGGACCCUGCCCACCCAGGGGAGAGGGUGAACUAACUCAGGGGCUGGUGGGGUCUCCUGCUGGCAUUAUGGGCAGAGCUACUGAAGGAGAGAGCAGGCACUUCAUGGGAUCACUAAGGGAAUUCUAGCAUGUUACAGGAUACUCAUCCCCACCCCCUCUGCUUUGCACAUCACCGGAUUUCAUACAAGAUGUUGUACAAGAUGCAAACCACAUCUGGAUUGGCCUUAAAGUGACACCCCCAGGGGGGAAAUGGACCUGGGUGGACGGUUCCCCAUUAGAUCCAGUGCGCUUCUCAGGCUCUGCUGCUGGGAACAGCUGCGGGUGGAUAAAAGGCAGCCAGGUUCUGUCUGAGACGUGUGCCGCGGAGCUCAAAUGGAUCUGCCAGAAAGAAGCGGCCGUGAUAUAAACAGUGCAACUCAGGAUCCACAUUUGUGUAUCUGUAAUGUGAAGUACCCCCCUGUUCAGUUUCAUGGGUAGGGCCCUACCAAAUUCACCCAUCCAGUUUGGUAAAUUUCAUGGUCAUGAGAUUUUUAAAAGUCUUUUAAAUUUCACAGUUUUAGCUA